CCUACGGGGGGCUGCAGUGGGGAAUUUUGGACAAUGGGGGCAACCCUGAUCCAGCCAUUCCGCGUGAGUGAAGAAGGCCUUCGGGUUGUAAAGCUCUUUUGUCCGGAGCGAAACGGGCGGCCCUAAUACGGUCGUCUACUGACGGUACCGGAAGAAUAAGCACCGGCUAACUACGUGCCAGCAGCCGCGGUAAUACGUAGGGUGCUAGUGUUAAUCGGGAUUGCUGGGCGUGUUUCGUGCGCAGGCGGUUGAAUCCCCGGGCUCAGACUGGGAAUGGCAUUUGGGACUGCAAGGCUGGAGUGUGGCAGAGGGGACUAGAAUUCCUGGUGUAGCAGUGAAAUGCGUAGAUAUCAGGAGGAAUACCGAUGGCGAAGGCAGGUCCCUGGGUUAACACUGACGCUCAUGCACGAAAGCGUGGGGAGCAAACAGGAUUAGAUACCCCAGUAGUC
rnacentral:rRNA from 1 species